GCUCCCCCUGGCAGAAUAAUGGUUCUCUUUUGGGGAGGAAUUAUUCAAAGAGAAUUUUUCUGCAGAUGCUGAUACUGGGAAAAUACCAAUGACACACUCUUUUUUCUCCAGGAAAAGUUUCACCAUACAAGUCAAGCUUCCAAUAAUGCAUAAGUGCUUCACUCUGCAAUACAAGAUAGCUUCCUUGUAAAGGGACUUUCCUGCAGCUUCCGCAUGCACAGAAUGCUGGCUCUGACCUUCCUGUGGUGACAGCAGUGAGUACCUAUGCCAUCUUUUGCAAACUGAGCACAAAUGGAUUCAAUGCAAGUGCACAGAUCACUAUACAGACCACAGAUGUUGUUACCGAGAAAAGAUCAAAUGAGACAUAAGCAGAAGUCCUGAGCCAUGGGUAAGCUGCUUGUCAGACUACAUAAGCUUUACUCCUUGAAGAGCCGGUCCAGGAGCCCUUUCCUGUGUGCUGUCUCCCUUCCGCUUGAGCAUAAGCCUCAAUAAAGCCUCAUCCGGAUUGAA